GAUGAAGGCAUUCACAUUCAUCUUCUCUUCUUUCCCACAACUUUGAAUAGUAUUCUCUCUCUCUCUCUCUCUCUCUCUCUGAAAAUGAAUCUCUAUCCCUUGCAAAAGAUCUCUUUUCUCCUUGUGAUCACAAGUACUAUAUGCCUAUUGUAUAUUCCAAGAUCUUUGGGUGAGGAGGAUGAUGAGCAAUACCUCAAGUGCAGCGCUUCGUUUCAAUGCGCAAAUUUUCCGAAUAUUGGUUACCCUUUUUGGGGAUCAAGCCGGCCCAAUUAUUGUGGCUACCCGGAAUUCAAGUUGAACUGCAUCGGGGACGCCCCGGUGAUCUCAUUCCAGGACAAAGAUUAUCGAGUCCUGGAUAUCAACCAAAGUGCAAGUACUCUUAGAAUCGCUAGGACAGACUACUGGAACAACGUUUGUCCUGUGUCACCUGGCAACACCACAAUAGAAGUAAACCGUGUAGAAUAUGCUUCAGAUGUUCAAGAACUAUUGCUGUUCUAUGACUGCCCCCCACUCAAUAUUCCUCUUCCAAUUCAGCUAACAAGUCAGUUCAACUGCAGCAUAAACAGCACUGCCAAUUACAUCAAUUACUUUGUCACACAAAACCUCACGAAUUCUGGGCUCACGAAUAUUAGUAGUACCUUUGGAACGUGCCACACGACCGUCACUGCCCGCGUUUCGCAAUCAGCGCGUGAAAAUUUGGCGAUGAAUUCCACCAAGGACAAUCUAGUUGCCGUUCUUGAUUCUGGGUUUGGGUUGAAAUGGGAUGCAAGUAAUAACUUGUGUAAGCAAUGUAACGAAACUGGUGGUCAGUGCGGGUACAAUACAUCUACAGCUGAGUUCACCUGCUAUUGCAAGGAUGGACCUAAUCCCUCGAACUGUGCAGGAAAAAAGAAGACAAUAGCAAUAGGUCUUGCUGUAGCAGGUGCAAUCCUUUUUGGCAUUUUCAUAGGAUUCUAUAUAUAUUCUUUCAUACAAAAAAAGAAGAAGAAACUUGCUGCACUAGCUAAAAGCAAAGAGAUUCCGACACCCCUCACGAGCAAAAGCGUUGCUACUCCCUCAACUAAUCUCUCUCAAUCUCAAAGCAUCCCUUCUUAUCCUUCCUUUACUUCAAAGUCAGACUAUGAUAAGGGGAGCACUUACUUUGGAGUUCAGGUCUUCAGCUAUACUGAAUUAGAGGAAGCCACUGAAAAUUUCAAUCCUGCUAAAGAACUUGGAGACGGAGGAUUUGGCACUGUUUACUAUGGUAAGCUACAGGAUGGCCGUGUAGUUGCAGUGAAGCGCCUUUAUGAGAACAAUUUCAAACGUGUGGAGCAGUUUAUGAAUGAGGUCGAGAUCUUAACUCGUCUCGAACACCGGAACCUUGUCAAGCUGUACGGAUGCACCUCAAGACACAGCCGAGAACUCCUCCUUGUUUACGAGUAUAUUCCUAAUGGAACAGUGGCUGACCAUCUCCAUGGGAAAAGAGUCGAAUCUGGGUUUCUUAGUUGGCCUGUUCGAUUGAGCAUCGCCAUAGAGACAGCUGAUGCACUGGCUUUCCUUCACCGCAAUGAUGUAAUACACCGUGAUGUCAAGACCAACAAUAUUCUCAUAGACAACGACUUUUGUGUGAAGGUCGCUGAUUUUGGGCUGUCCAGAUUGUUCCCCAAUGAUGUCACGCAUGUUUCAACUGCUCCACAAGGGACCCCCGGCUAUGUUGAUCCUGAGUAUUACCAAUGCUAUCAACUCACGGACAAGAGUGAUGUAUAUAGCUUUGGUGUGGUCUUGAUCGAGCUCAUAUCAUCAUUACAAGCAGUGGAUACCAAUAGGCACCGGCAUGAUAUAAAUUUGGCCAACAUGGCUAUCAACAAAAUUCAAAAUCAUUUAGUGAAUGAGUUGGUUGAUCCUCUUCUUGAGUUCGAAACGAACCAUGUUGUUAGGAGGAUGGCAACAGCAGUGGCAGAAUUGGCCUUCCGAUGUUUGCAACAGGAGAGGGACAUGAGGCCAACCAUGGACGAAGUGUUAGAUGGUUUGAGAGCAAUCCAGAAUGAAGAUCUUGGUUCAGAAGACGGUCAAGCAGUUGUGCUGGAUAUCGGGGCAGAUGACGUUGGACUCUUGAGGAACAUGCCUCCUCCACUCUCACCAGACUCAGCUGGAACUGAUAAAUUGGUUAGCAGCUCUACCCCACCUAGUUCCUUUUAGCACUUCAGAUUUCCAUAUCCUCCCAUAUCCUCCUCUUUCCUGCUUUUUGGGUUUAUAAGAGGUGGGACAAAACUAUUUAACCCAACUGGUGAUGGUGGAAGCUCAGACUCAGAGUUCAACAAAAUCUCAUGGUGGAUUGAUUUUGUAACUUUUAAGUUGUAAAUGCAGGAAAGCACCAUUGUCGUGCGCGGAUGGUGGACUAACUUUUGGUACAAUACUUUCUUCGCUACAAGGUGCGGCAGAGAUGGCCUUUGUUGUCAUGUCACUACGAUAUUUUGGGUUUUGGUUUUGCCUUUUUUUUUCUUCUAUACAAUUAUGUAUAAUUAUACAUUUAUAUAUGCACAAUCAACUUACAAUUGUUUGAGUA